rnacentral:rRNA from 1 species
AACGAACGCUGGCGGCGUGCCUAAAACAUGCAAGUCGAACGGCUCACUUUCGGGUGGGUAGUGGCGGACGGCUGAGUAACACGUGGAUGACCUGCCCUCGAGCGGGGGAUAACUGCCCGAAAGGGUAGCUAAUACCGCAGACGUUGCGGCUUCGGUGCUGUAACUGAACCUGAGGGGUUUGAGGAGGGGUCCGCGGCCGAUUAGCUAGCUGGUAGGGUAAUGGCCUACCAGGGCGACGAUCGGUAGCUGGUCUGAGAGGAUGAUCAGCCAGACUGGGACUGCGAGACGGCCCAGACUCCUACGGGAGGCAGCAGUUAGGAAUUUUGGGCAAUGGGGGGAACCCUGACCCAGCAACGCCGCGUGGGUGAUGACGGCCUUCGGGUUGUAAAGCCCUUUUCCCAGGGACGAUAGCGACGGUACCUGGGGAAUCAGCCCCGGCUAACUACGUGCCAGCAGCCGCCGCAGUAA